rnacentral:lncRNA from 1 species
UGAUCCCAGCACACGGGCUAAACCAGGGCCCAGUGAUCCCAGCACACGGGCUGAACCAGACUCCUGAGAAAUGAAUGCAUCCACCAAUAGUGACUGUUGUGAAUGCAGCUGUCUGUGGUCCCAGGUUCUAUCUCUGUUCCUCAGACCUCAUUGGGACGUCGGUGGAGACUCGAACAAUCCACCAGCAAAAUCUCCUUCUACUUGGAGCCACCUAACAUGAAGCAUUCAUCGAGGCUUACUGACUAAGCACUGUGCCGUGGGCCAUGAGCAUCUCCGGCCUCAUAGACCUGACAUCUGUGGGAGACAAUCACAGAACUAUUUCACUGCAGCUGUGCUAAGUGUGCAGAUGAGAAGUGCAGGGUGCCCUGGGAGCUUCUAACUGAAGACCCUGACUGGUCUGGGGAGCCUGAAGAACCAGAAAACAGCUGGGGCUGGAGACCAAGAACGAGGAGGUCAGAGCCCCAGGGAGGCUGGAGAGUUGGCAAUACUGGAUUAUGCUGAGCCUUGAAAAUUCUAUGUGAAGAAUUUGGGUCUUUAUCAAAGGAGAAAUUGGAAGCCACUGUGGGAUUUUAAGCAGGGGGGAUAAUGUGAUUAAUUUUAUAUUUAAACAUAUCACUGUGGUUGCCAUUUAGAAGUGGUUUGGAGAUGGAGCCUGGAAGGCCAAGAAUCAGUGGAGAAUCUGUUGCAAUGUCCCAGAGGGGGUGUUCUGAAAAGAGAUGAUAAUGUUGGAGAAAGUGAGAAGUGAGUGGAGCUGUCUAGUGGUCACAUUAGCCGUACUUAUAUCUCUCAGUUUAAUCCUCUGCUAUUAUCUCUC